UAAAUAUAAUUAUUUAUAGUUAAAAUUUAUAGUUGAAAUGAAAUUGAGUUUUCAGGAAAGCGAAGGUUAGCUUUGUGGAUAUUGAAUUUGUUCUUACAAAUAAAGUUUUGUUUUUGUCCUUUUUGUUUUGUUUUCAUUUUUUGGACAAAUUGCUCAGAAUCAAAUAUGUAAGCCCCAGGGAGUUGAACUGAUCCAAAAAUGCAAAUUUGAUAGUCGAAUUUGGAUUCGGCAGUUUGAAUUGUCACAAAUUAAUAUCUGAAUCCGACCCUCUUCCCAAAAUAUUGGUUACGGACUAUCCUUGCUCGUAAGCAAAUUGACAUCGGGAUCCUACUUAUUAUUAAGUAUAUGAAUUGGGACUAUUCUCCCAUUAUGAAAGAGGCGCCACAAUCACUUGGAAGUUGGCUCUAUUUCCUCAAUUCAAAAUGGAAGGUGACUGUAAUCUUGACAGUGUAUAACCAACGGGUCUUAUAUGACAUGAAUAAAAUCUUACCUAAAUCGUCAUUGCAUCUGAAUCACGUCGUAAAACUGAUAUAUAUAACAUGAAUACCAGUGGUCACAUGAUCGGCAGUAGAUCAGAGCCAACGCAAAUAUCCCUGUUGCAGCACUCCUUACCAGGUUUUCCAUAUUACUGGGCCCCAAGUAUUUAGAUCAUGGUUCUUAGAAUCAUGAUUCAAGGAGGGUCAUGCGAUUCCGAUACAAUAAGCUGAAUCGAAAACUGUAGAAUCGCAUCUGAAUCGUGCCGUGAAUCGCAGAAUCGGGCUGAUUCGUCGAUUCCGGAUUAGGCCCAAACUCGGGCAAAGGGCAAGCCUGAUUUGGGCCCUUGGGCGAAGGCUAGGCCAGAGUGGGCUGAAACCCAGCCCAUUGGCCCUGAGCCCGACGAGUCAACGACUUUUUUUUUUCCCUCUCUCUCCCCCCUCCUUUCCCUUUCUUCUCCAGUGCUCCUCCUUUCUCCCAACAGUCCCAACAUUUCUAUGCCCUAAUCCACCGGACCUCUGACUCUCCACCAAGCUUCAACAAUUUCUUCAGAUUCUCUGUGCCGGGUUCUCUUGUUCAGUUGUUCAAACUCCGACGCGCUUGAAGCUCCGGCUGCUUCGCAGAUCCGAAUUCCACAGUUCCGACUUCCGACUUCCGCCAUUUCUUCGGCAGUUCCGACAGCCAUUUCAUCCGACUUCCACCAUUUCUCCCUGAGCUUCAACCUCCCAAGCAACACAGCUCAGUUGCUUGCUUUGCUCUGCCCGAGGUUUGACCCGUCGAGUGUCCAUUAUCCAGACUCCAGGAAUCGGACUUUUACGUCUCGUGACAUUCUUUCUCUAGAGCUACACCUUUCUAUCGAAGAUCCAGCUGAAUGGAAUAGUAGGCGAUUCCUUGGCCUGCCGCUGGGCUCUCUCCUCAAGCCUCCGGAUUCUUGAAGGCAACCCGCAGACGUAAUCCUGAGCCCUCCUUCCCUCGCCUGAAAGUACUGUCAGCUUCUCGACUUUCCACCUCCCCACCAAGAACUCCAAGAUAUCAGCAUAGUCCUUGGUUGUGUACACCCCAAGCCUCUGGGCCACUUCUGAGUAGUGCUUGAAGAGAUCGUCAUCCCGGCCAUCAAACAUCAAGUGGGCAGGCAUCGAGAUCUUCUUCCUCAUCAUAUCGGCAAGGCCAUGAUCGUACCAUCGGGGUCGAUCUCAAAGAGCUUCUCGACUAUCUUGGUAUAUGCAGUCUCGUGGCGCUUCUCAUCGGAAGCGAUGGUCCCGCAUAUCUGAGCCAAUUUUGGGUCUCCGUGGUUCUCGGCGAGCCUUGCGGUGUUCCCAUGACAUAUGAAGGUCGCACGUUCUUGGAAAGUGGUGUAGAUGAAGCCGAGAUAAGGGUUGUUUUCCGUCCUAGGAUCCUAUAAAGCCACAAAAGAGACCAAAGAGUCAGGGGCGGAGCCAUUAAGGCUUCAGGGGGGGCAAUUGCUCUCCCUGACUUUUCCAUGUGUUGAAGAUUUCACAUACAAAUUUAUAAAAAUUUCAACUUUUGCCCCUAAAAAAUCAAUGCCCCCUAAAUUAUUUUAUUAUUUGACUUUUGCCACAAAACUUUUAAUUCCACCGCCCCUUGAACAUUA